UACGGAGGGUGCGAGCGUUGUCCGGAAUCACUGGGCGUAAAGGGCGCGUAGGCGGCGCGGAUAGUCGGCGGUGAAGCCGGACGCUCAACUCCGGGUCGGCCGUCGAUACUUCCGGGCUUGAGCACUGUAGAGGCAGAUGGAAUUCCGGGUGUAGCGGUGGAAUGCGUAGAGAUCCGGAAGAACACCGGUGGCGAAGGCGGUCUGCUGGGCAGUUGCUGACGCUGAUGCGCGACAGCGUGGGGAGCAAACGAGGAUUAGAGUACCC
rnacentral:rRNA from 1 species